GAACGCUGGCGGCGUGCUUAACACAUGCAAGUCGAACGGAAAGGCCCUGCUUUUGUGGGGUGCUCGAGUGGCGAACGGGUGAGUAACACGUGAGUAACCUGCCCUUGACUUUGGGAUAACUUCAGGAAACUGGGGCUAAUACUGGAUAGGAGCUCCUGCUGCAUGGUGGGGGUUGGAAAGUUUCGGCGGUUGGGGAUGGACUCGCGGCUUAUCAGCUUGUUGGUGGGGUAGUGGCUUACCAAGGCUUUGACGGGUAGCCGGCCUGAGAGGGUGACCGGCCACAUUGGGACUGAGAUACGGCCCAGACUCCUACGGGAGGCAGCAGUGGGGAAUAUUGCACAAUGGGCGGAAGCCUGAUGCAGCAACGCCGCGUGCGGGAUGACGGCCUUCGGGUUGUAAACCGCUUUCGCCUGUGACGAAGCGUGAGUGACGGUAAUGGGUAAAGAAGCACCGGCUAACUACGUG
rnacentral:rRNA from 1 species